rnacentral:sRNA from 1 species
AAGAGAAUGAAAAAUGACUACUGGUACUCAAAUGGUGCUGGAAGUAAAAAAGAAUAAACUUAAUAAUAGUUCCAAUCACUUUACAUUUGGGAAAAAAAUAGACUGUAGUUUUGAA